AGGUAAGCUACUAAGAGCGAAUGGUGGAUGCCUUGACUGGUAAAGGCGAUGAAGGACGUACUAGACUGCGAUAAGCUACGGGGAGCUGUCAAGAAGCUUUGAUCCGUAGAUUUCCGAAUGGGGCAACCCAAUGUAUAGAGAUAUACAUUACCUAUAUAGGAGCGAACGAGGGGAAUUGAAACAUCUUAGUACCCUCAGGAAAAGAAAUCAAUAGAGAUUGCGUCAGUAGCGGCGAGCGAAAGCGCAAGAGGGCAAACCCAGUGCUUGCACUGGGGGUUGUAGGACUGCAAUGUGCAAGAGGUGAGUUUAGCAGAACAUUCUGGAAAGUAUAACCAUAGAGGGUGAUAGUCCCGUAUGCGAAAAACAAACCUUAGCUAGCAGUAUCCUGAGUAGGGCGGGACACGAGGAAUCCUGUCUGAAUCUGGGUCGACCACGAUCCAACCCUAAAUACUAAUACCAGAUCGAUAGUGCACAAGUACCGUGAGGGAAAGGUGAAAAGAACUGAGGUGAUCAGAGUGAAAUAGAACCUGAAACCAUUUGCUUACAAUCAUUCAGAGCCCUAUGUAGCAAUACAGGGUGAUGGACUGCCUUUUGCAUAAUGAGCCUGCGAGUUGUGGUGUCUGGCAAGGUUAAGCAAACGCGAAGCCGUAGCGAAAGCGAGUCUGAAUAGGGCGCUUAGUCAGAUGCUGCAGACCCGAAACGAAGUGAUCUAUCCAUGAGCAAGUUGAAGCUAGUGUAAGAACUAGUGGAGGACUGAACCCAUAGGCGUUGAAAAGCCCCGGGAUGACUUGUGGAUAGGGGUGAAAGGCCAAUCAAACUUCGUGAUAGCUGGUUCUCUCCGAAAUAUAUUUAGGUAUAGCGUUGUGUCGUAAUAUAAGGGGGUAGAGCACUGAAUGGGCUAGGGCAUACACCAAUGUACCAAACCCUAUCAAACUCCGAAUACCUUAUAUGUAAUCACAGCAGUCAGGCGGCGAGUGAUAAAAUCCGUCGUCAAGAGGGAAACAACCCAGACUACCAGCUAAGGUCCCUAAAUCUUACUUAAGUGGAAAACGAUGUGAAGUUACUUAAACAACCAGGAGGUUGGCUUAGAAGCAGCCAUCCUUUAAAGAAAGCGUAAUAGCUCACUGGUCUAGUGAUUUUGCGCGGAAAAUAUAACGGGGCUAAAGUAAGUACCGAAGCUGUAGACUUGCGCACAACUUAGAUUAUUUAAGUUUAGAAUAUGAGAAACUAAGUUAUAUGUUUAGUUAUAUUUUUACUGAUUUUUAUAGAGUAAAGAUAGAAAUAAAACUUAGUAAAAUCAGUAAAAAUAUUCUUAGACUAAAGUUAAGUAGUUUAAGUUGUGUGCAAGUGGUAGGAGAGCGUUCUAUUUGCGUCGAAGGUAUACCGGUAAGGAGUGCUGGAGCGAAUAGAAGUGAGCAUGCAGGCAUGAGUAGCGAUAAUUAAUGUGAGAAUCAUUAACGCCGUAAACCCAAGGUUUCCUACGCGAUGCUCGUCAUCGUAGGGUUAGUCGGGUCCUAAGUCGAGUCCGAAAGGGGUAGACGAUGGCAAAUUGGUUAAUAUUCCAAUACCAACAUUAGUGUGCGAUGGAAGGACGCUUAGGGCUAAGGGGGCUAGCGGAUGGAAGUGCUAGUCUAAGGUCGUAGGAGGUUAUACAGGCAAAUCCGUAUAACAAUACUCCGAGAACUGAAAGGCUUUUUGAAGUCUUCGGAUGGAUAGAAGAACCCCUGAUGCCGUCGAGCCAAGAAAAGUUUCUAAGUUUAGCUAAUGUUGCCCGUACCGUAAACCGACACAGGUGGGUGGGAUGAGUAUUCUAAGGCGCGUGGAAGAACUCUCUUUAAGGAACUCUGCAAAAUAGCACCGUA
rnacentral:rRNA from 1 species